ensembl:lncRNA
AUUAUAGAAAAAACAGUUGAAUGCUCUGACAUAGAUUUGACUACUUUCAUUCCUUUUAGAGAUAGGAUCAGAUAUUUCACUGAAUUAAAUCACACACCACAGACACCUAAAUUAGCAUUUUAAAUCAGAACUAGCUUGAGUAUUUGCAGGGAGUCCCCAACUCAUAACCAUUUAUUAUGUGCUGGUUUAGGUCUUGAAUGCAUCAUGGUGUGAGACACUGUUUUCUUUCUGCAUGAAGCUGAAGCAGAAGCCUCUCCCUAGUUCACAUCCCACACCACUGGAAAGCGGGAAGCUGAACCUACAUGCAGAGGGAACCUAAUAUUUAUGCCCCACAAAAUUGCUCAGCAACAUUGGAAAAUUCCCUCAGGCAAUUGCAUUUCAUGGAAGUCCCAGGCAGCUGUCUGUCUUGGAGCAUUUUCUAUUCUCUGCAAAGCUGGUGAGGCUUCUCUGCCUGCACAUUUGAACCUCUCUUCAAAGGACAAGAAACAACAGCAGCUACAUUACGGAGCGUGCAUUAGAAAACACACACACACUUCUUCUGUAUGGAAUCCAAACCUGGGCACCCAAAAUAGCUUCUGCAGGCAAUUUAAUUUAAACUUUUCCAAUAUACUUCUAAUCAGUUUUGGUUUCAAUCUGGCUUACAAGAUGUGAGACUCCUGUAAUACUGCAUGUGGAUUUCUCUUAUGAACCGAAUUAACAAUUUUGAGCAGGAGGUCCUGGUGCUGUGCUGUUCUAUAUGUGUCACUUUCUAGGUACAUUUAUAAGAAACUGUAUCAUAUAUAUUUAAUGAAGUGUAUUUUGUAUUGCAUUAGGCAGCAUUACAACACACCACCACGUUAAAGCUAUCUAAAUCCCACCUUAGGAGACAACAUUAAAAAGAAGUUAAAAGAAAUUACUCCUUAAGGUAGAAAGAGUUUACUUCUUCACACAGAACUUCAAAGGUUUCACUGUGGGUGAAAAAGAAAUCAUUGCAGGGGGUGGCCAAAGGCCAGAGACAGUGGUCUGAAGGAGAAAAAUAGGCAGAGAAUAAAUAAACUGGAUAAAGAGUAAGCCACUUGAAUAGUAAACCCCUUAGCCCUUUAUAGAAAACAUAGGCUGGGGGGAAAACUGGGAAGGCUGAAAUGAGGAGGCCCACAGCACUGAAAAUUGGGAAGGACCACCGCAUAGGAAAUGGAGAGAGGGAAAAGGAACUGUUUGAAAGGAACACAAAUGGGAAGACAUAGCAGUAAGGGGAGAGGUAGGGCACUCAAGGAGAUUGUAAAGGAAUAAAAUAUUUCCUAUAAACCGUUCAAGACUGUAGAGGCCAUCUGCAGCAAUAUAGGCCAUCUAAAACCAAUUAUGAUUGCUAUGUACUUUUCCUUAUCUUUAUCACUGUGUUAAAUAUCAUUCAAUAAGGAAUAUGAGUAAUUCUGACUUAGUAUAAGAAUGAAAUAUCCGAGGGAGGAAAUUUUAGUGGAAUGUGGUUCAACAUCAAAAAAGAAUCAGCAAUGCAAAUCAGACGAUGUGAUAACUGGGGAAUGCUAAAAGGAAACUGCAUGAGAAUCUCAGACAUCCUGUCAUUUCUGGAAAACGUGAUCAACAGAAGAUGAGUAUUAUAUUCAUUUAAAAAAAAGAAAGAAUAGUAGAUAGUAACAGGUAUAUCUUCUUAAAUUGGAAUGGCAUAUGAAGUAAAAGAGAAGGAGGAUGUAAUGCUCUGUAGUGAAAUGAGUGCAGCUGACAGUCACAGAGAUAUCAACAGCAGAUUGUACAAGUGCUGAACAGAAGAUUGCAUGGCAUUUUUUGGCACACAAUUGUGAACAGAUUCAAUAGGAAGCAUAUAGUCAUAGUCCAGUAGCAAAGUUAAUAGGACAUUUCAACAAAUGCUUGCAUUGACCUAACCUGAAGGCCCUUAGCGAUUCUGUAAUGACACCUGGACCAAUUCAUCUGGUAUCUUCCUACAACGUGAAAUUUGUGGCAAAUAAAAUCCAAGUGGGAUCAUUAGAUUCACACAAAUUGGAACUGCUUACAGAUGCUGGUCAUGCAGUAUGUUUACAAACUACUGUCUUUCAAAAUGUGGGUUUUCAAUUCAGAUUAAAUAAUCACCUUUACACAGGUCCAGACUUCACAUGGUGCAGAGCCAAAACUAAUUAUUUUGCAGAAGUUUGGACUGAAAUGGGGGCAAAUGCCUUCUAUUAUGAUGGACUUGUACCCUGACAGAAGGAUCUGUUUGGUUGCUCUGAUCUACAAAUUCAGAAAUCUGAACCAUCCUGUUUGGAAAAACAAGGCUUGGGAAUAUGGAAACUUAUUGGACUUGUCCCUUUUUGGCUGCUUUAUUUAAUUCCUAAAGCCAAAGAAAAGAGAGAAUGUAAUCUAAGCCAAAAAAAAGCACCCAAGAGGAAUAAGAAAAUAAAACGGAAGUGUCUAAGUAGAAGAAGAGAGAAAUGUAAAUUAAGGGGGGGAGGGGGAAGUGGGAGCCCUUUUUUAUUUGAUAGAGAGCCAAAAAAACAUAAAGCCGAACAAUCUUUGCCUAUUCAGAGACUAAGUUUCAGGAUAUCCUUUAAGAAAUUGUUACCCUAUAGCCCAGCCUUUCCAAGAUAAGAUAAAUUCAGUGCUGUUAUCAAAUUCUCACCUUAGCAUUGCUGUCAAUUACUAGUUCCUGCUCACUGCAUAAAUAUAAUGUGAAAGCACCUGUUCUGAGUAAAACAAUAUAUAGUCCAACUGCAUCCUGCUGCUUUACUACUAUUUUUUCACAUGCUCCAGACUGGCCAUAUGGUUAGUUUGUUUGAUUAUCUCCUCAGGAAUGGCUACUCAUUGAAAUGGCCAGUUUGAAGGUCUUACCCCUUGGAGAGCUCUUGUACUGCAUUUCCAGCAAUCUCCUCUCUUCCAGAAGCAUGAAUCCUAUUUUGCUGCUUUGAAGAGCACACCUGAGCGGUAGAGUUCCUUCAUUUUCUUUGGCUUCUAUAUUGACCUUUAGUCAAUGAGGUUAAAAUACCUCCUUCACUUUGUCACUCAGAAGUCUGGUGUAUCUCCAUAACAAGAGGGAGAUGCUUCUUUCUUUUUUUCAUACAAUUGCUUAUACCAAUUUUUAUCUUUUCAUAGCACAAACAUAUCAUAUUCAUUGAGAAAUGAUCCAAAAAGUAAAGUUUUUGUUUCCAUUUCACAUGCAUUGCAUAAGAAUUCUCCUUUGAAUGUUCUUUAUUAUGUAUAAUUUGUAAUUCUUUCAUGUGAAAUUUUACUUUUGAAUGCACUCUUUCUCUGUAAAUGAAACAUAAAUCCUUAGCUUGAGAACUAUUUUUUUUUUUUUUGUGGAAAAUGGCAAUGGAGCUGCCACUGCAGGUCAUAUAUCUGCUAGCAUAUUAAAAAAGCUUUGUUAAUAAUGUAAUGGAGUCUUGUAGAAUUCCUUAUUCUGCUUCUAUUUCAUUCACAAGAAAUUAUUCUCCAAAAAAAGAAACACAUUCAAACAAAAAUAUUCUGCCUUGUCAAAAACAGAAGCGUAGGGAAAUAAUGUUUCUUCAUGGCGGAGCCAAAUCAACAAGGUUCUUGUGGAAACAAACUCAAAAACCUUAGAUCUUAUCUCUAGAUCUAAGUGGGAUACUGAAGAAUAAAAAAUAUGUGUCUACAUUCCCUCAGCAAACUAGGUAACUUCUGUUUGUUCUCUCCUUCUGUCACACACGUGUAC